rnacentral:ncRNA from 1 species
UAGUCGUUGCGAUAGUAAUCCUGCUCAGUACGAGAGGAACCGCAGGUUCGGACAUUUGGUUCACGCACUCGGUCGAGCGGCCGGUGGUGCGAAGCUACCAUCCGUGGGAUUAUGCCUGAACGCCUCUAAGGCCGUAUCCUUUCUAGCCAAAGGAGGCAACGAUAUCUCUAGGAGUCUCGUGUGGGUCGAAAGGCUCAAAACAAUGUGAAACUACUAGGUGGCCGGCCCUCGUGACCGGCCAUCGCACGGGCCCCAGUUUGCCGUACGGGCGUCUUCGGAUUCGUCGUCGGGAUCUCGCCGCACGACGACCGUGGCGCUAUAACGGUCGAUCAUGGGUACACCAAUUUCGACGUCGAGACUCGGAAUCGUCUGUAGACGACUUAUGUAAGUCUUCUCCUUCUUCAGAUUU